CCUACGGGGCGCAGCAGUGGGGAAUAUUGGACAAUGGGCGAAAGCCUGAUCCAGCCAUGCCGCGUGUGUGAAGAAGGCCUUCGGGUUGUAAAGCACUUUCAGUGGGGAAGAAAGCCUUGGGGCUAAUACCCUCGAGGAAGGACAUCACCCACAGAAGAAGCACCGGCUAACUCCGUGCCAGCAGCCGCGGUAAUACGGAGGGUGCGAGCGUUAAUCGGAAUUACUGGGCGUAAAGCGCGCGUAGGCGGUCUGAUAAGCCGGUUGUGAAAGCCCCGGGCUCAACCUGGGAACGGCAUCCGGAACUGUCAGGCUAGAGUGCAGGAGAGGAAGGUAGAAUUCCCGGUGUAGCGGUGAAAUGCGUAGAGAUCGGGAGGAAUACCAGAGGCGAAGGCGGCCUUCUGGACUGACACUGACGCUGAGGUGCGAAAGCGUGGGUAGCAAACAGGAUUAGAUACCCUGGUAGUC
rnacentral:rRNA from 1 species